UCUGGACGAUCGAACAGAAGACAAGGGUUGAAACCCUAGCAUCAAGAAAUCAAGCAAUUUAGCUUGAAUCAAAGGAAAAAUUCGAUGCAUGAUUCCCUAAACUCGAGUAGCUAACCUCAAUUUCCGAAGUGGAGUGAAAGAAGAAGGUUCGAACGCUAGGAAAUCGGAAGGAUCACAAGACCAAGGUAAUUCCUCAAUUUAGGCGACUUGGAGAAUUGGAGCGAGCACAUGUUCAUGAUAUGUCAUACCAAACGCUUCCGCUAGCUGCACUAAUGUUUUGGGUCAAAAUUUCUAUUUUGUACAACUUGU